GGAGGGGUGGCUGAGUGGUCGAAAGCACCGGUCUUGAAAACCGGCGUGGAUGAACAGUCCACCGUGGGUUCGAAUCCCACCCCCUCCGCCA
rnacentral:tRNA from 1 species